UACGUAGGGUGCGAGCGUUGUCCGGAAUUAUUGGGCGUAAAGAGCUCGUAGGCGGUGUGUCGCGUCGGCCGUGAAAACCUGCAGCUUAACUGUGGGCUUGCGGUCGAUACGGGCAUCACUGGAGUUCGGCAGGGGAGACUGGAAUUCCUGGUGUAGCGGUGAAAUGCGCAGAUAUCAGGAGGAACACCGGUGGCGAAGGCGGGUCUCUGGGCAAUAACUGACGCUGAGGAGCGAAAGCGUGGGGAGCGAACAGG
rnacentral:rRNA from 1 species